CCCCCCCCCCCCCGCCUCUGGCCACGCAGCCACAGGUCCGCGGCGCCCCGCCUGAAGUCGGCAGGGAUGUCCAGCGCUCGGCGCCCACCUCUUCCCUGCGCACCUCCCCGGGGGCAGCCGUAGUCCUCCCUGUGCCCCUGGAGAAGGGGCAGAGCGGCCACCGGAGACGCUGCGGGCGCUACUUCUCCAGGAGGGCCCGGCCCGCGCAGAGCCUGAGAGAGGGAUCUGCGUACACGGAGUGUUCAUUAGUCUUUGGGGAAUCGGCCACCCUCAUGCCUCUGUAACUGCCCGCGUCAGGAGGGCUGGCACUCCCCGCCGAGCCGCGACCUAGCUGAGAAAUCACCUUCACCUUGGCGCGGGGAGGAAGCGCGCUCCGGAGCGUCCUCCGGUGGCCGGGCAGGACCUCGGACAGCGCCCAAGACGGGCUCCCUCCAAACCGCUCGGUCGGCUUCCCGGGCAGAGCCGCAGCUACUUCGUGCGCUCCCCAAAUCCUCGCCAACCCAACCCUCCUUCAGAAAGUAGGACUGGCUGCGCCUGCCUUGUGGCUUUGUUUUCCUUCCUAAAGGCGGGUUUCUUAUCUCUCAAGUUCAAGUCCCGAGGACUUGUCCAGACUCCUCCCCUUAAGGCAUUUCUACCAUCCUGGCCACCGCGUAACCCGGAGUCCUACGCUGCUCGUCCCAGUGUCAGCCUUCCGAGUCCCAGUCGGUCCGGCGCAGUCGCCCGGCGCGUUUGCCUUUCUCCCUCCCUUUCCUCCCUUCCUCCCUCCCUCCUUUUCUCUCUUUCCCCCUCGACUUCCCCCUCCCUCUCUUGCCUCUUAAGUUUCCUGCACCGUGAACCCAUAUGUGCCAAGUCUGGGCUGCCGCGAUCCAGCACUGAGAGCGACCCCAGCGCGGGGACGCCAGCUUGGCCGAGGCUGGACGAGGCAGCGGGACUCAUCCGCGCCCGAGCAUGGAGACGGAGCUGCGGGGAGGGAACGUCCGGGGCGCCGAAGACGCCAGGCCCGAGUAGCUCCUCCAUGGAGCCUGCCCAGAGCGGUCCCUGCUCGCCAGAUUCUCCUCCAGCCCCGUGGGGCUGCUGAGAGCGCUCCCCGCUCUGUAAAGUGGAUGUCAGGUGGAUCUAUGUUUCUGAAGGAACAAAGACUCAGCGAAGGCACCGCCAAGGAAGUUUGAGACGCGGGAGGAUGCAGGCUGCGUGCUGGUACUUGCUUCUCCUCCUGCAGCCCACCGCCUACUUGGUAAGUCUCGGCGGGUCGGGUCGGGCGCCUCUGAAAUUUCUCCCAGGCCAGGAGGCCAGGCAGCUGGAGGCCCGGAGUAGGACCGCGAGGCUGCCCGCUCAAUGAGAGUACCGUNNNNNNNNNNNNNNNNNNNNNNNNNNNNNNNNNNNNNNNNNNNNNNNNNNNNNNCAGUUGGAGCAACUUAGGGAAGCUGGUCUCUGGAUUCCUGCGCUCUGGAUUUCCAGGGCUCAACUCCCAUUUCCUGCUUCCUUACCCCUCUCUGAGCAUGGUUCUGAGCAGCGGCUAGGGCACCCUGGGCUUCCAGAAACCAGAGGUAGUGUGAUGGGUUCUUUUUUUUUUUCAAGA
rnacentral:lncRNA from 1 species